rnacentral:rRNA from 1 species
AUUGAACGCUGGCGGCAUGCCUUACACAUGCAAGUCGAACGGCAGCAUGAUCUAGCUUGCUAGAUUGAUGGCGAGUGGCGAACGGGUGAGUAAUACAUCGGAACGUGCCCUGUAGUGGGGGAUAACUAGUCGAAAGAUUAGCUAAUACCGCAUACGACCUGAGGGUGAAAGUGGGGGACCGCAAGGCCUCAUGCUAUAGGAGCGGCCGAUGUCUGAUUAGCUAGUUGGUGGGGUAAAGGCUCACCAAGGCGACGAUCAGUAGCUGGUCUGAGAGGACGAGCAGCCACACGGUGACUGAGACACGGCCCAGACUCCUACGGGAGGCAGCAGUGGGGAAUUUUGGACAAUGGGGGCAACCCUGAUUCAGCAAUGCCGCGUGUGUGAAGAAGGCCUUCGGGUUGUAAAGCACUUUUGUCCGGAAAGAAAUCGCACUUACUAAUAUUAGGUGUGGAUGACGGUACCGGAAGAAUAAGGACCGGCUAACUACGUGCCAGCCGCCGCGGUAAUAC